rnacentral:rRNA from 1 species
AUUGAACGCUGGCGGCAUGCUUUACACAUGCAAGUCGAACGGUAACAGGCCGUAAGGUGCUGACGAGUGGCGAACGGGUGAGUAAUGCAUCGGAACGUGCCCAGUCGUGGGGGAUAACGCAGCGAAAGCUGCGCUAAUACCGCAUACGGUCUAUGGAUGAAAGCAGGGGACCGUAAGGCCUCGCGCGAUUGGAGCGGCCGAUGUCAGAUUAGGUAGGUGGUGGGGUAAAGGCUCACCAAGCCAACGAUCUGUAGCUGGUCUGAGAGGACGACCAGCCAAGCUGAGACUGAGACACGGCCCAGAGUCCUACGGGAGGCAGCAGUGGGGGAAUUUUGGACAAUGGGCGCAAGCCUGAUCCAGCAAUGCCGCGUGCAGGAAGAAGGCCUUCGGGUUGUAAACUGCUUUUGUACGGAACGAAAAGGCUCUGGAUAAUACCUGGGGCUCAUGACGGUACCGUAAGAAUAAGCACCGGCUAACUACGUGCCAGCAGCCGCAGUAAUAC